rnacentral:rRNA from 1 species
UGGGGAAUUUUGCACAAUGGGGGAAACCCUGAUGCAGCGACGCCGCGUGAUUUAGAAGGCCUUCGGGUUGUAAAAAUCUUUUUUACGGGAGGAAAAUGACAGUACCGUAAGAAUAAGGUCCGGCUAAAUACGUGCCAGCAGCCGCGGUAAUACGUAUGGACCGAGCGUUGUCCGGAAUCAUUGGGCGUAAAGGGUACGUAGGCGGCCUAGUAAGUUAGAAGUGAAAUAAUAUAGCCCAACUAUAUAAAGCUUUUAAAACUGCUAGGCUUGGUAGAUGGAAGGGAAGGUGGAAUUCCUGGUGUAGCGGUGAAAUGCGCAGAUAUUAGGAAGAAUACCGGUGGCGAAGGCGACUUUCUGGUCAUCAUCUGACGCUGAGGUACGAAAGCGUGGGUAGCAAGCAGG